rnacentral:lncRNA from 1 species
UGAAGAUCCAAUUUUUCCUUGGACAUUCCCAGGGAUUCUCUGGAUCCAGGAAUUCCUUCUCAAGAUCCCAAAAUCCCAAAAUCUCAAAAUCCCAAAAUCCCACAAUCCCGACCCUCUGGCCAUGGUGGGAUCCAUUCCCUGUCCUGCUAUUCCAGGCCCUUUUCCCAAAUCCCUCUGGGUUGGAUCCAUCCCCAUCCCGAUUCCUCGUUGAGAAGGAAUUUCGGGAUCCAGGGAAUUCUCUGGGAAUUCAGGACUCCAGGAAGGGUCUCCCUUCCCUUUUCCAUCCCCAAAUUCCAUAAAAAUCCCUCGGGAUGGAUCCUGAGUGUCCCAGAUCCCAGAAUCCCGGAAUGGUUUGGGAUGGGAUCCAUGGACCUUCAAUCCCAUCCCAUUCCAUGGGCACGGAAUUCCAGGUUCCUCCAAUCCCCAUCCCAGGGAUGGGACCGUCUUUCCCAUUUUUUUCUGGAAUUCCUAUUCCCAUUAUCCCUGUUAUCCCGGAAUUCCCGAUCCCAUUUUCCCUGUUAUCCCAAAAUUCCUGAUCCCAUUUUCCCUGUUUUCCCAGGAUUCCCGAUCCUGUUAUCCCUGCUUUUACCAGAAUUCCUGUUAUCCCAUUUUUCCCGGCAUUCCCACCCCGUUAUCCCUGUUAUCCUGGAAUUCCUGAUCCCAUUAUCCCAUUUUUCCUGGAAUUCCUGAUCCCAUUAUCCCUGAUCCCGUUAUCCCUGGUAUCCCAGAAUUUCUGAUCCCGUUAUCCUGGCAUUCCCUAUCCCUUUUUCCCUGUUAUCCUGGGAUUCCUGAUGCCGUUAUCCCAUUUUUCCUAGAAUUCCCGAUCCAUGAUCCUGGUAUCCCUGUUACCCUGGAAUUCCCGAUCCCUGUUAUCCCUGUUAUCCCAGAAUUCCUGAUCCCAUUAUCCCUGUUAUCCCUGUUAUCCCGGAAUUCCUGACCCCGUUAUCCCCGUUAUCCCGGUUAUCUCUGUUAACCCUGUUAUCCCCAUCCCGUUAUCCCUGUUAUCCCUGUUAUCCCGGAAUUCCUGAUCCCAUUAUCCCCGUUAUCCCCGUUAUCCCCGUUAUCCCCGUUAUCCCCGUUAUCCCCGAAUUCUGACAUUCCCAUUAUCCCGAUUUUUCCCACUUUUUUCCCAGCUCCAGCCCAUCCAGCGCUGGGACCGCUCGCAGGACGCGGUGUACGGCAGGGUGACGGAGCGGUCCCUGGAAUUCCUGAUCCCAUUAUUCCCAUUAUCCCUGUUAUCCUGGAAUUUCUGAUCAUGUUAUCCCGAAAUCCUGACCCCAUUAUCCCGUUUUUUUCCC